rnacentral:miRNA from 1 species
AACGUGACACUUUAGAAAAC